rnacentral:rRNA from 1 species
CCAGACUCCUACGGGAGGCAGCAGUGGGGGAUAUUGCACAAUGGGGGAAACCCUGAUGCAGCGACGCCGCGUGGGUGAAGAAGUAUUUCGGUAUGUAAAGCCCUAUCAGCAGGGAAGAAAGAAGACGGUACCUGACUAAGAAGCCCCGGCUAACUACGUGCCAGCAGCCGCGGUAAUACGUAGGGGGCGAGCGUUAUCCGGAUUCACUGGGUGUAAAGGGAGCGUAGACGGCCGUGCAAGCCAGGAGUGAAAGCCCGGGGCCCAACCCCGGGACUGCUCUUGGAACUGUGCGGCUGGAGUGCGGGAGGGGCAGGCGGAAUUCCUGGUGUAGCGGUGAAAUGCGUAGAUAUCAGGAGGAACACCGGCGGCGAAGGCGGCUUACUGGACAGUGACUGACGUUGAGGCUCGAAAGCGUGGGGAGCGAACAGGAUUAGAUACCCGCGUA